rnacentral:rRNA from 1 species
CUACACAUGCAGUCGAGCGGUAGAGAGAGCUUGCUUCUCUUGAGAGCGGCGGACGGGUGAGUAAUGCCUAGGAAUCUGCCUGGUAGUGGGGGAUAACGUUCGGAAACGGACGCUAAUACCGCAUACGUCCUACGGGAGAAAGCAGGGGACCUUCGGGCCUUGCGCUAUCAGAUGAGCCUAGGUCGGAUUAGCUAGUUGGUGAGGUAAUGGCUCACCAAGGCGACGAUCCGUAACUGGUCUGAGAGGAUGAUCAGUCACACUGGAACUGAGACACGGUCCAGACUCCUACGGGAGGCAGCAGUGGGGAAUAUUGGACAAUGGGCGAAAGCCUGAUCCAGCCAUGCCGCGUGUGUGAAGAAGGUCUUCGGAUUGUAAAGCACUUUAAGUUGGGAGGAAGGGCAGUAAAUUAAUACUUGCUGUUUUGACGUACCGCAGAUAG